rnacentral:rRNA from 1 species
GGCGUCCUACGGGGGGCAGCAGUGAGGAAUAUUGGUCAAUGGGAGAGAUCCUGAACCAGCCACGCCGCGUGAGGGAAGACGGCCCUAUGGGUUGUAAACCUCUUUUGUCGGAGAACAAAACCCGGGACGUGUCCCGGACUGCGUGUAUCCGCAGAAAAAGCAUCGGCUAACUCCGUGCCAGCAGCCGCGGUAAUACGGAGGAUGCGAGCGUUAUCCGGAUUUAUUGGGUUUAAAGGGUGCGUAGGCGGUCCGUUUAGUCAUCGAUAAAAUUGCGGGGCUCAACCCCG